AGCAGUAAGUCAGUAGCCCACCCAGUUGCUCGCGAUGGAAAAUUCGCCAUCAAUUUUCCCAUUUCAAUUUGAUUUUCAGAAGCUCUAAUUUCACGCAAACAAUUCGUAACAUAAAUUAAUUUUAUCGUAAUUGACUGUAAUUUCUCCUUUCAAAACUUUUCAAUCCGUUAUUGUAAGAGAAAAAGCACAGUGGUUGUUAAACCAUGUCCUUGAGGAGCAAUGGCAGCAGCAAUCAUAGUAAAGAAGACGAACGGAACAAGGAUACUUCUUCUUCGCCUUCUACGCUGGAUUCAAGAUUCAAUCAAACUCUCAAAAAUGUUCAAGGGUAUGUGUUUAAUUUUGCACUCGUUAGAUCCAACAGAAAUUACUGCUUAUUAACCCUGAAUUUUGUUACUAAAGGAAAUCCCAUUUCCCGGUUGGUCUCGGGUUUCUUCUGUUUUUGUUCAGAUUUGAAUACCCAUUUGAAAAUUAAUACUGAAAAACCAAAUAGAAUUUAAUUUGAGAAUUCGUUUGAAUUUUGAUCUGGGGAAUAAUUUAACUUCUAUUGUGUUUGUUAGCUGAUAGUUAAUGAUCUAAAUUCUAAUUUCAGUAGGUGUGGUUGUUUACAUUGUCUAUUUAUGUAAAGUUUUUUCCUUCCUCUUUUUUAUUUUUAUUAUUUAUUUAUUUAUUUAUUUUUCCCGGUGAAUUAUGGAAUCAUGGAACUGCGAUUUGUGUGUGCCAAUAGUGCCAUUAAAAUUGUAUACAUUGCUUAGUUUCGAUGGAUUGUUUCAGGUCUUAACGGUGAAUUAUGUGAUCUAUUUUUAAAUUUCUUUUAACAUUUUUAUUCUUCUUCAUAUUGAGUCAUAUACAGGCAUUUUGAUUAAUGUAUCUCUAUUUUAUGUUAACUGUCUCAUAUUUUUUGUUCUCACAGGUAGCAAAUAUUAAGAAAAUUUCCCUUCCUGUUGAAAUAGGAGUGGAAAAGCCCCUUUCAGGAAACGAC
rnacentral:lncRNA from 1 species